GCGUAUGUAGUAUAGUGGUCAGUACCCUCACGUUGUGGCCGUGAAUAUCCCAGGUUCGAAUCCUGGCCAUACGCA
rnacentral:tRNA from 1 species